UUGAUCUACGGGAGGCAGCAGUAGGGAAUCUUCCGCAAUGGGCGAAAGCCUGACGGAGCAACGCCGCGUGAGUGAUGAAGGGCUUCGGAUCGUAAAACUCUGUUGGUAGGGAAGAACAAAUUUGUUAGUAACUGAACAAGUCUUGACGGUACCUAACCAGAAAGCCACGGCUAACUACGUGCCAGCAGCCGCGGUAAUACGUAGGUGGCAAGCGUUAUCCGGAAUUAUUGGGCGUAAAG
rnacentral:rRNA from 1 species